rnacentral:misc_RNA from 1 species
CUUGAUCUGUCUGCACUUCGCAUCAAAGAGCCCGUUUCUCUCUCUGAAGCCACAUGAAUUUCCUCUCUAGACACUAAUUAACAGAAAGUUAAAUAGAAAUGGAGUGGGCGACGGUGCAGCAUCUGGAUCUACGGCAUGUAGGUCAAGGUGUUAAUAAACCACUGCAGCCUCAUGCUGCUGCUUUUCAUCCAACUCAAGCUCUCAUUGCCGCCGCGAUCGGUACAUACAUAAUUGAAUUUGAUGCAUUAACAGGAAGCAAGCUCUCUACUAUUGAUAUUGGAGC